rnacentral:tRNA from 1 species
GAAGGUAUAGCUGAGUGGUAGAGCGCAUGCCUACCCUGCACAAGGUCCUGGGUUCAAUCCUCAGUACCUCCA